GUCAUUUCUGGUGCUCUAAUCGAAGGAGUUUCGUUCGCUAGGGCUCUGGCAGUCAGUUCUAGUGCUCGGAUGAGUGAGAAAGGGAAGGCAAAGAAGUGGAGACUCAAGAGAGAGUGGAGCCAAAGGCACCUGCUGCCAAGCCUCCCAAUUGCAUUAGUAAGUGGAAUAAAAGCAGGCAAUCAAUCUGAGGUUGCAGGGGCACCUCCAACUGCGAAGCCUACUGGAAUAGAGUCAUGCAAACAAGUUGUUUGUGAAAAUGCCAAGGAAUUUGCCUAAAUCCUCUGUUCGCCGAAGCCUGCGCUGAGAAGAAGAACAACUGGAAACAGAGGAGGGAGAUACCGCCACCAUUCGCAGUCGAGGAGUCCAUGCCGCUGCUACUGUUGAUCUGCUGAACCUACCAGAGAUUCCAGCACCGUCGUUGCUGCCUUGCGUUGCCGAAAUCAGAGGAACAAAGCUCUCACGGUCCUGCCUCACCCGUCGGAAAGGACCUUUUGUGCUACCGUCGGAGUGCUCGUCGCCAGGAAAAGGGAGAACAGGGGACGCCAUUGUCGAAAUUGCUGCUGCAGCUCCGUUCGUCGAAGGAGAAACAACCCACGCUGGAGAGCGAGGUACAAAGAGACGAGAGGGUGAGGAGGUCGCUGGCUUCUAAGCCUCGGUCGGAGGAGACGACCACGUCUAAAAACUAGAGGAUGCCGCAAGAAGUUCAUCUCGUCGCUGCCGCUCUGCCUAGCCACCGUCAUUGCCUAUUGUUUCUAUCAAACUGCUUGACGGGAGGGAGAAAAGAAGAGCUCCGGGAGUGAAGAAAAUUAGAUUGAAUUUUGCUAAAUUGACAUAAAUGCCCCUCAUUUAGACUGUUAACUAACGACAUGAUAAAUGGAGGACUAAAAGUGACCUCGUCACGAUAAGUGUUUCAAUAAAUUGUCCAAAAUUUGUA